rnacentral:rRNA from 1 species
GACAGAGGGUGCAACCGUUGCUCGGAAUCACUGGGCGUAAAGGGCGUGUAGGCGGGCAUGUAAGUCGGGCGUGAAAUCCCUAGGCUCAACCUAGGAACUGCACUCGAAACUGCGUUUCUUGAGUAUCGGAGAGGAAAGCGGAAUACCUGGUGUAGAGGUGAAAUGCGUAGAUAUCCGGAGGAACACCGGUGGCGAAGGCGGCUUCCUGGACCGACACUGACGCUGAGGCGCGAAAGCUAGGGGAGCAAACGGG